UGCGUAGGGUGCGAGCGUUAAUCGGAAUUACUGGGCGUAAAGCGUGCGCAGGCGGUUCGUUGUGUCGGCGGUGAAAGCCCCGGGCUCAACCUGGGAAUGGCCGUUGAAACUGGCGAACUGGAGUGUGGCAGAGGGGGGUGGAAUUCCGCGUGUAGCAGUGAAAUGCGUAGAGAUGCGGAGGAACACCGAUGGCGAAGGCAGCCCCCUGGGCUGACACUGACGCUCAGGCACGAAAGCGUGGGGAGCAAACAGG
rnacentral:rRNA from 1 species